rnacentral:rRNA from 1 species
GACCCGUUGUAAAGCGGAACCAUGCGACGACUUCAACUUCCCAAAAAGAGGAGGAUAAAGACUAUCAAACUCAGUUGGUUAGUUUCGUAUCCUCCGGUUCAAUGAACAUCACACGAGUUGGUUAAUUUCUUUUCC